UGUCGGCCAGUUAUGACAAGGUCAUAGAAGCGGAUCACAAACGAAAUAAUUUUGCCAAUAAAAUGAACGAUUAUGGACAGACGAAGAUAAUGGACCAUACCAAGUCAGACGUUAUAAACGAUAAAUUGUACCUAUUUUGAACGUUUGAAAAAUGUGUGACUUUUAAAUUAGUGGAAUUACCAAUCAUGAUAUCACUGAAUGACAAUUUAUUAUGUUGUUACAAAUGUGGUUUGGUUAGAAUUUGAAAAACUUUAUUAUAUUUUUUUUUUGUAUUUUAAUUUCCUUAUUUGGCCUAGAAAUAAUUAAAUUUUGAUCAGACAUUGACACAUCCGGAAGUUAAUCAUUGUAUCACGUACAUCCUAAAAUGUAGUGUCCUGUUUUCUGGUGAAUUGGUGAAUAAGUGUCUAUAACAACUUUUUAUUCAAUGUUUUCCUUGUAGCACAUAUGUAUCUGUAUGCAAAAAUACAUUCUUUUCAAAUUUGCUAUCAAUGGUUUUAGAGGAACACUGUCUGAUUUGUGUUCUGAUAUUUACUUCGAUUGGUUUUAAGUUUGAUUUUUUCCCAAUAUUUCAAUUGGUUCAUUAUUAAACCAUGAAAUAUGCAUGUGGCAAACAGUUUUUGAAUGUUGAAAAAAGGGGGACGAAAGAUACCAGAGGGAAUUUCAAUGUCAAACUCAUAGAUUGGAAAAAAACCUAACAACGGCAUGGCUUAAAAUAAAAAGACAAACUGACAAACAAUAGUACAUAGAAAACUAAAGACUAGAGCAACACGAACCCCACC
rnacentral:lncRNA from 1 species